GCUGGAAUGGUCUAGUUGGUUAUGACGACUGCCUCACACGCAGUAGGUCCCGAGUUCGACUCUCGGUUUCAGUA